rnacentral:rRNA from 1 species
GUGGGGAAUAUUGGGCAAUGGGGGAAACCCUGACCCAGCAACGCCGCGUGAGGGAAGAAGGUUUUCGGAUUGUAAACCUCUGUCCUUGGUGACGAAGGAAGUGACGGUAACCAAGGAGGAAGCCCCGGCUAACUACGUGCCAGCAGCCGCGGUAAUACGUAGGGGGCAAGCGUUGUCCGGAAUGACUGGGCGUAAAGGGCGUGUAGGCGGCCGAUAAAGUCUGGAGUGAAAGUCCUGCUUUCAAGGUGGGAAUUGCUUUGGAGACUGGUUGGCUUGAGUGCGGAUGAGGUAAGUGGAAUUCCCAGUGUAGCGGUGAAAUGCGUAGAGAUUGGGAGGAACACCAGUGGCGAAGGCGACUUACUGGGCCGUAACUGACGCUGAGGCGCGAAAGCGUGGGGAGCGAACAGGAUUAGAUACCCGAGUAGUCC